UUUUUUUUUGCCCCCGUCGGUCAAUUUGCGACCCCCCUUGGCGUCGGGCUCGGAACGAGCUUUCCGGAACGUACUCACGGGCCCCGUGAGUCCAUCGGGAUCGAAAGUUGGGCGCGUGAACGCGGAGACGGGCGGAUUCCGUUAAUUGAGAAAUUAACUUUUCUCGUGUUCCGUCGUAUGUGAGCAGGGCCCCGUCGAUUGAACGGAAAUUGCGCGAAGUCGAACGCUCGAGAUCCUCUCGAGANGGGAGAGUGAUUUGCUUNAAGUANAUNGCCCA
rnacentral:misc_RNA from 1 species